rnacentral:rRNA from 1 species
CCUACGGGAGGCAGCAGUAGGGAAUAUUGCACAAUGGGCGAAAGCCUGAGGCAGCAACGCCGCGUGUGCGAUGAAGGCCUUCGGGUCGUAAAGCACUUUUGGAGGGGAUGAGGAAGGACAGUACCCUUCGAAUAAGCCUCGGCUAACUACGUGCCAGCAGCCGCGGUAAU